UACGAAGGGGGCUAGCGUUGCUCGGAAUGACUGGGCGUAAAGGGCGCGUAGGCGGUUCGUACAGUUGGGUGUGAAAUUCCUGGGCUUAACCUGGGGGCUGCACCCAAUACGUGCGGGCUUGAGUGUGGAAGAGGGUCGUGGAAUUCCCAGUGUAGAGGUGAAAUUCGUAGAUAUUGGGAAGAACACCGGUGGCGAAGGCGGCGACCUGGUCCAUUACUGACGCUGAGGCGCGAAAGCGUGGGGAGCAAACAGG
rnacentral:rRNA from 1 species